rnacentral:rRNA from 1 species
UACGUAGGGUGCAAGCGUUGUCCGGAAUUAUUGGGCGUAAAGAGCUCGUAGGUGGCCUGUCGCGUCGGCUGUGAAAACUCGGGGCUCAACUCCGAGCUUGCAGUCGAUACGGGCAGGCUAGAGUUCGGCAGGGGGAGACUGGAAUUCCUGGUGUAGCGGUGAAAAUGCGCAGAUAUCAGGAGGAACACCGGUGGCGAAGGCGGGUCUCUGGGCCGAUACUGACAUGAGGACGAAAGCGUGGGGAGCGAACAGG